CACACACAUACACACACACUCACACACACAGACACACACACACUCACACACACACUCACACACACAGACACACACACACAGAGGAGAAACAGACAGACAGAGACAAAAGAGACAUAAAAUAGAGAUGCACACAGAGAAAUAGACAGAGAGGGUAGAUGGGGGUGCCCAGAAAAUGAAGGUGACUGACCAAGCUUCCACACAGAAACCUUGAACUCAAGGCUAAGUGAAGCCAGCCAGCUCCAAGAAGACGAAUGCUGAAACUCUACCUACAUGAGGUCAUUCAACCAGUCAAAUUCAUAGAGAGAGAAUGAGCAGGACUCAGUGUUUAAUGGAGACAGUUUCUGUUUGGGAAGACAGGAAGGUUCUAGAGGUGCGCGCUGAAGUGGGCUCAGCACUGAUUCAUGCCACCGAGCCAGCGUCCAGAUGGUGCAGAGGGUUUUAAUGUGGUCUACAUCUCUUACACAUUUAACAGUGUAACCUAAACCUGCUUGUUUGCUCCCUCCAAGCACUUCCUGCAUUUACUGCCCUCCUUGUGAGGUGACCCUUUCCUCUCCAUGCCCCAUGCACUCUGAGAGUGUGUCAUUGACGCCCAGUUGUAUCUGGGUAGCCCUGUGCUUAAACCUGCAGCACACUGUAGUGAACGCUGUAUGCUGGGGCCUCAGUGGAGAGGAGAAAGGCUGGUGCCAUCUCCAGCAUGUCCCCGUGAUGACACUCCCCUCCCAGGGUACCUGGUUUUCGAUAUCUACCUUCAUGUUGGCCACUGGUAGCGAGCUCUUCAGACGGUACUUCCCAUCCUUCUGGGGGUGCGUGUACAGGAGCGUGUCAUUCAUCUGCAGAGAAGGCACCCACUCAGUCACACCAGUCCUAGCCCUGAAGACUGCAGCAAGCGCUACACAUAGCAGGUCCCUGGGCUCUGGGGUGCAGGCACCUGGCAGUCCUCUGUGACACCGUGGCAAGGAGCAAAGCCGUACUGUGAACACAUCAUGACAACUCUACUCCUACAGGGAUGCUCAAGGGGACUUGGCACAUUUGCCAAUGCUCUGGACCAAGUGUCAGAGAAGCUUUAUGUAAAGUAGCCCCAAAGGGGGAACUAACCAAAAGUCCUUGACAGUUGACGGAUAAAGAAUGCACGGUCCGGAUGGAUUGUGAAAUACCACACAACAACCCAGAGGAGCAGGCUGCCAGACUGUCGCCACGUGAUAGGGUCACAGGCAUUCUGAGGGAGAAGGCCAGAUACCAUGGUCGUGAGCCACCAUGUGGUCGCUGGGAUUUGAACUCAGGACCUUGGAAGAACAGUCGGUGCUCUUAACUACUGAGCCAUCUCUCCAGCCCUUUAAAGACAUGGCACUUUAACUCCUCUUCUUUUUAAUUUUUUUUUUCAUUUUAUGGGGAUUGGCACUUUGCCUACAUGUAUGCCUGGGUGAGGAUGUUGGAUGCUGGAGCUGGAAUUACAGACGGUUGUGAGCUGCCAUGCAGGAGCUGGGAAUCAAAGCCCGGUCCUUUGGAAGAGCACCCAGUGCUUGCUCUUAGCUACUGAGCCAUCAUCGCUCCAGGCAGACAUGCUAUUUCUUAAAGAAAAAAAAAUCAUGGGAACACACAUCCAAAACCAAGUUAGGUUGUGGGUUGGGUCGGCUGAGAAGAUAGCUCAGCAGAGGACACCAGCUGCUAUCCACAGGACCUGGGGUUGAGGCCCCAUAACCGUAUACCAUGUGUAACUUCAGUUCCAGGGGAUCCAAUGACCUCUCCUGGUCUCCACAGGCUCCAGACACACAUGAGGGACAUAGACUUACAUGCAGGCAAAACACCCAUAUACACAGAAUAAUAAUAAAUAGUGGAAAUUUUAAAAUACUAAA